ACUCAAAUGAAUUGACGGGGACCCGCACAAGCGGUGGAUCGUGUUCUUUAAUUCGAUGCUAAACGAAGAACCUUACCAGGGUUUGACAUCCUUGGAAUUACUCCGAAAGGAGUGAGUGCUUUAUUGAACCAAGUGACAGAUGUUGCAUGGCCGUCGUCAGCUCGUGUCGUGAGAUGUUUGGUUAAGUCCAUCAACGAGCGCAACCCUUGUGAAUAGUUGUAUUUUUCUAUUCAGACUGCCCCGGUAACGGGGAGGAAGGAGGGGAUGAUGUCAGGUCAGUAUUACUCUUACAUCCUGGGCUAGAAACACGAUACAAUGGCCAGUACAAUGCGCAGCAAAGCCGCGAGGUGGAGCAAAUCGCAUCAAAGCUGGUCCCAGUUCGGAUAAGAGGCUGAAACUCGCCUCUUUGAAGUCGGAAUCGCUAGUAAUCGCAGGUCAGCAAACUGCGGUGAAUACGUUCCCGGGUCUUGCACACACCGCCCGU
rnacentral:rRNA from 1 species